GCCGAGAUGGCCCAGUGGUAAGAACGCGUGAAUCUUAACCGAUGAUCGUGGGUUCAAGCCCGGGCAAGCACCACUGAAUUUUCAUGUGCUUAAUUUGUGAUUAUAAUUCAUCUCGUGCUUGACGGUGAAGGAAAACAUCGUGAGGAAACCUGCAUGUGUCUAAUUUCACUGAAAUUCUGCCACAUGUGUAUUCCACCAACCCGCAUUGGAGCAGCGUGGUGGAAUAAGCUCCA